GAUCCAAUCGAGCCAACCUAAUUUCAGUAAUUAGAACUCUUUCUCAUUUGGUGAUCGAAUUAAACUAUUUAAUUUGAUCAAACCCACAAGACAAGAUUGAUGUCUAGUAAUAUAUCAUGUCUAUCUGAAAGAUAUAAUAUUUUGAUAGAAAUACUAAAAAUAUCCUUCAGUGGAAAGUUACCGUGCAAUUCGAUCAUGCGAACUCCCUGGACCUCGAAUAUGAAUCUGG
rnacentral:lncRNA from 1 species